UAAGCAGGUUUUUAUUCUUUAAACUACAUACAGAUCACAAAAAACUUAACUGUAUCCCCUCAUAUAUAUCGGAUUUUAAUCAGAUAUCGGGAGAACUGCCACACAGGGUUUAAUAUCAAGAGAGUAAAUUAUGGACACUUUUCAGAAUAUGGACUUCAUGGACAGAGAUGAAGAUGAAAAGUCAAACAACAAAACAAGAGCCAGGGCUAUUAACACUCUCAAGCCUGUGGUGGCCAUUAUUUGUGUGGUAGUAGGAAUAUCAGCAGUGGUGGUGCUGGCAGUAAUAUAUAGUAGUCCUUCUGACGAAGGU